GGGGAAUAUUGCACAAUGGAGGAAACUCUGAUGCAGCAACGCCGCGUGAGUGAAGAAGGUCUUCGGAUCGUAAAACUCUGUUGUUAGGGAAGAACAAGUAUCGUUCGAAUAGGGCGGUACCUUGACGGUACCUAACCAGAAAGCCACGGCUAACUACGUGCCAGCAGCCGCGGUAAUACGUAGGUGGCAAGCGUUGUCCGGAAUUAUUGGGCGUAAAGCGCGCGCAGGCGGUCUUUUAAGUCUGAUGUGAAAGCCCACGGCUCAACCGUGGAGGGUCAUUGGAAACUGGAAGACUUGAGUGCAGAAGAGGAGAGUGGAAUUCCACGUGUAGCGGUGAAAUGCGUAGAGAUGUGGAGGAACACCAGUGGCGAAGGCGACUCUCUGGUCUGUAACUGACGCUGAGGCGCGAAAGCGUGGGGAGCAAAC
rnacentral:rRNA from 1 species